UACGAAGGGGGCUAGCGUUGUUCGGAUUUACUGGGCGUAAAGCGCGUGUAGGCGGACUUGUAAGUUGGGGGUGAAAUCCCGAGGCUCAACCUCGGAACUGCCUCCAAAACUACAAGUCUGGAGCAAGAUAGAGGCAAGUGGAAUUGCGAGUGUAGAGGUGAAAUUCGUAGAUAUUCGCAGGAACACCAGUGGCGAAGGCGACUUGCUGAAUCUUUGCUGACGCUGAGACGCGAAAGCGUGGGGAGCAAACAGG
rnacentral:rRNA from 1 species